GUGGUUGUCAAGGAGUGCGUGACAUUAUUAUGGGAUGUUAGGGGUGAAAUGGCGCUCGGCGCGGUAUUUUGAACAAUCGUCUACGUUUCUGUGCUUUUUACCGAUAUGUUGCUCCGCCUGUACGGACCGGUGAAGGAGUAUGUGCGUUAAGGCGUUUCGAGACACUAAAACCAUAGCUUCAAGGGGAAAAACAAACCACCAGUGACUGAGCUGAGUGUAAACCUGCAGACAUGGACGUGGUGUCGCCAGAGCUGAACAGUCUGCUCCCUGAUGAGAUCAUGGACACAGAGGCCAUCAUCAUGGAUGAUGACCCCCCCUCCGAGUCCCCUGCAGCCUCUGGCCAAUCACAACCUAGUGACGACUCGCCAGUCCCCAUGGAAACGGAUGUGCCCGCUGUCCCAGAGAUCGUAAGCCUGUGUUCGGACGCCCCUCCAACCCAGCUGACCCAAGCCGGGACCACCUCCACCCCCACAGGUUCCACCCUCUGUAACACCACCUCUGCUACCCAGCUCCUCCUCACCUCUUCCACGGUUUCAUCCUCCUCCCUCACCUUGCGACCCGCCACAGCCUCCACCCUAACCUCAACCACCCCUAAAACCACCAGCAGCCUCUCCCGGGUUAGUCUCACCUCGGGGGGCUUACAGAAGCUCUCAGCCCCCUUCACCCUCUCAGCCAACCACCAGAUCAUCCUCAACAAGGUGGCCUCAUCCCCAGGCGCAGACACCGCCAGGUCCCAAGGCACCACCACCACUACCACUACUCCAGGGGGCCAGCAGUUCAUGGUGACGACCAUUGGGAAGUCUGGCCAGCCUAUUGUGCUGCAGCUGCCCCACACAGGCUCCAAGUCUGCCUCGGUGCAGGGUCUGGGGGAGGCCAAGGCCAACCCGCAGCAUUUCAAGGUGGUGACGGUCAGCUCGGCCAGUCAGGUAUCCACCCUGCAGGCCCAGCAGCUGAAGACUGUACAGAUUGCUAAGAAAACUCAGGUGUCGUCAGCUGGACCAAUCAAGUUUGUCUUCACUAAAGCUGUCAACAACAAAGGUCUGACUGCCCAGACAUCAGUAUCCAAUGUCAUUACAGGUCGGGUCCUGUCCACAAGCAGCCCAGUGACUCCCCCGCGGACCAUCACCCUCUCUGAGACCCUCGGCUCCAGCUCUAGCAGCAAGAUCGCCAUCUCCCCCCUCAAGUCGCCCAGCAAGUUGACGGUGGUGUCGGUGGCCUCCCAGGUCCCCAACUCCCCUCAGAAGUCAGUGUCUCUGCCUCUCAACAUGGCCCACCUGGGACAUCAGAUACUAUUACAACAGUCUACAGCCACCUCCCCAGCCAAGACCAUGAAGCCUGUGCAGACUGUGACGGUGGGAGGGGUGGGCGCCCCCCAAUUUAAGACCAUUUUUCCCCUGUCCACCCCGUCCAACGUGCAGCAGAUCCAAGUGCCAGGCAGCCGCUUCCACUACGUCAGGCUGGUCACUGCCACCACGGGCAGCAGCACGGGACAUGCCGGCAGCCCCAUCACUAACUCAUCCAUGACAGCCAAGCCCAUGGUGGUCAACACAACCCAAGUCAGGAUGUCUGUCCCCAUUGUCCCAGCACAGACAAUGAAGCAGGUGGUGCCUAAGCCCUUGACAUCGUCAGGCCAGGUGCUGACCACUCAGACCCAGCAGAGGUUGAUCAUGCCCGCCACAUCGCUACCCCAGAUUCAGCCCAACCUCACCAACCUACCCCCGGGCACAAUGCUGGCGCCUGCCCCUGGCUCUGGGAACAUGGGCUACGCCGUGCUGCCCGCACAAUACGUCACACAGCUCCAGCAGUCGGCGUAUGUGACUCUGGCCAGCAGCUCUGGGUUCUCCACCCCUACAGGCAUCCAGACUCAGGCCAGACUGCCUCUCAAUGGCUUAUCAACAUCAGGCGCUGCCUUCAGACCACGGAAGCCCUGUAACUGCACCAAGUCUCAGUGUCUCAAACUGUACUGUGACUGUUUUGCCAACGGGGAGUUCUGUCAGAACUGUAACUGUACCAACUGCUUCAACAACCUGGAACACGAGACGGACCGAGCUAAAGCCAUCAAGGCGUGUCUGGACCGUAACCCGGAGGCGUUCAAGCCAAAGAUCGGUAAAGGUAAAGAGGGCGAGUCGGACCGCAGACACAGCAAAGGUUGCAACUGUAAACGCUCAGGCUGCCUGAAGAACUACUGCGAGUGUUACGAGGCCAAGAUCAUGUGCUCGUCUACCUGUAAGUGUGUGGGCUGUAAGAACUUUGAGGAGAGCCCUGAGAGGAAGACUCUGAUGCACCUGGCCGACGCAGCUGAGGUCAGAGUUCAACAACAGACGGCAGCCAAGACCAAGCUGUCAUCACAGAUCUCAGACCUGCUUACACGGACCACUCCCGCCAUCACCAGCGGAGGGGGGAGGAUGCCCUAUACGUUUGUGACGAAGGAGGUGGCGGAGGUGACGUGCGAGUGUCUGCUGGAGCAGGCUGAGCAGGCAGAGCUGAACCAGCAGCCCCAGGCCACCGCAGAGAGGAUGAUCCUGGAGGAGUUUGGACGCUGCCUCAUGAGGAUCAUCAGCUCGGCGGGCAAGACAGACUGUCCCUCCAUCAACUGCUAGGCUAGGUCCAUGGGCUCUCUCGGUUUGCCUCUCACCCAGCGCAGAGAGAACUCGUGCCUGGGAGACUGAAAGGGUGGCCCCCUUUCUCCCCAAGCUCCAGAGCUAAAAAUUGGGACUGGCGAGUGGUGGUGAUCCCUAGGAGGUCCUUGGUUUCUCUGUCUCCCGGGCUAGCUAACCCCAUAGACAUUGGAUUGGGAGAAGAGUAGACUGCCCGGUCAACUGUUAUCUAGCUAGACCCAGUACCAGGAGGCAAGGACUGCCCUGUGCACUGCUUACCCACCCUCAGAGCUCUAACGUUGGGAGAACUAAGGGACAUGAAUUGCUAUGGCGCUGGUCCUUCUUCACAGUUAGUGGGAAUAGCCUUGGCUGAAGGGAGGGGCUGUCCCCAUGCCUGCCUGAAAAAAACAAGGAUUGUGAGACUCGGCAGAGAAAGAAGUGCAAGGGUAGAGCAAACGAGCGGGACCAGGAUUUGGGUUUUAACCAGUUCUUGGUUUCGGUGCACCCUCUGACUGAGUGGAAUAGCACAGUUUGUUUGUGUUUUUGGAAGGGGGUUGUUUUAGACUUACCAUGCACACUUUUUGAUAAUAGGUAUUUUUACAUGUUUUGUUUUUUCUUCUAAUGUAUUUUUCUUCUACCAUCCUAUCAUGGCUCUGUUUGUCCCUCUCUUUCUCCCUCUCCUUCUCUCUGGUGUGAUAUUAACAUGUUUUAAUAAUUUCUGAUGAUUCUGGAUGCAGAGGAGGAUUCUUCAGUUAGUAGCCCAGGUUCUAAUCAUGAUGCUGAUCUCGCUACAGUAGCUAGCUUUUACUGUAGCCCACAAGAUACCCCCACUAUUUAUUUUCCUCAACCACCAUUUCAACUUGUACUCAGUGCUUAGCAAAAUGUCUAAGAACAAAUUCUAAAUUCCCACUUUAGAUUUUUAUCAUGGAUAUGGAUUAUAUUUGCCAUUUUUAAACAACUAAUUGGUAAGUAUUUGAAUUUACAUUCACCAAACUGGGUUUUGGGGUAGCAUACAGUCCUGUUUCUGACACUUUCAGGUAGGGUGAAGUUUCACAAUAUCAAAUCCAAGUUAUUUGCUCUGCUAAAGUGCUUCUGGUACUCUAAAUGAAUUGUGAAGGUAUGAAAGUUGUCCUCUUUUAUUAGGUAAAUAGGAAUAUUGGAAUCUAAGUGCCCCUACUUUUAACUUCUUUGUGAAUAACAAAGAUGUAGAAUAAUGUUUGUAGAAUAGUGCACACACAUCAAUGUUGGAUCACUGACAAGAGCCAGGGGCAGAUUGUUUGAUUGGAUAAUGAAUCUAGCCAUAGUAUCACCGUAUGUCAGGAGCACUGUGCCUAUUUUAGCAUAGCAGAGUGCCUUUAGUCUACAGUGAGCUGAUGAUUGGGCAUGGUAACUUUGUUCUACAAUGUCAUCAUGGAUUAGGCUACCAGGUAACACGUGAUUUGGCCUCUGUGUGUCACUAACUCUGCCCAUCAAGUGUGUGUUCAACAGCAUCUCGGUGGUGUUUCUAAAACCCAUUAUAUCAUGUCCACUAGUCUGGCUAACACACAACUCUCAAAGUCUUCCUGACUUCAGUCUGGAAUGGCUCUUCGAUGUCGGCACAAUGCGUCGAUAAUGAAGAGGGCUGUGCUUUUACUGGUUGGUUCUCUUCCGUAUUAUUCUCACUCAAACACCCACAUGCAUGGCCACACAGCCCCCCCGAGCGCUGCCCCUCCCAUUACAAUGGUUGUAUUUUAAAAACAACGAGAGGUCUCAACCUCUGAGGGGAAAAAUAACAUUUGAUUGAACCAAUCAAAGCCAUCGCUCAAUUUCUGAGUGAAUAUUGCAUUAAGGGCCUUCUUUCCAGACCAGUGUACAACAGCUGUCCCUGUGCGGUCAGCCAGGCUACAUUUCCCCCUCACAAAGCCAAUCCCUUUCUAUGUUUUUGUAUUGGGGUGAGUCUUGUGUGUGUUUGGGUGUUGUUUUUAAAAUACUGUUAUUAGUUGUAGAUUUAUUUCCCCCAGGAUACCUUUGCCUUACGUUCCCCACUCUGCUCAGGGCAUUGAAGGACUUUUACUAUGUUGUCAAUUGUUUCCCCCAAUGUUGUUGAAGACACACAUACUUAUUAAAACACGUUCAAGAUCUAUCAAAAAGCAGUCGUUUGUUGAUAUAGAUUGCCCUUGUCCAAAAGAGUCAGAGUAUGACCAUGUUAUACACCAUCACACAUCCUUUUCAAAGUUGUAAUCAUCCCUAUGCACUGAAAAAUUUGUUUAUUGUAUGGAUGAUCUUGCUGGAUGCUAAAGUUAUUACAAAAUUGCUGUACAGGAGCAUCAACAAUUUGUUUAAGCAGCAUGAUGCAUCCCUAAUAAAAACACAUUUCUCUAGGCCCUGUUCAGGAGGGUGCAAUGUUACAGAACGUUCAGAUAGAAAUGUAUUGUGUAGAACGAAUACAGUGGUAUUUCAGGUAGAGGAUUGCACUAUGUUACAUUUCUAUUUGUAACAUUUGUUGAGUCUCCCCUCAUUGAAUACAGCCCUAGUAUCCAUUGUCAACCCACAAAGUGGGAUGUUUGAAAGGGCUUCCAAUAGUUGAGCACAAACAGAACGCUGCUCUGAAAGUGCUCUGCUCAGCUCACUCCCUCAAUCUGAUGUUGAAAGGUGGUGGGAAAUUGUUUUUAGAUUGUCUUCUAACAGAGAGAAAUGUAACAUAAAAAUAAAUGUAUAUUAUCAAUAAAACUAAACAGCAAAGUUGUGUGCUGUCUGUGAACAGAAAAGUUCCUAUCAAAUCUAUAUAUUUUAGGAGAAACCUAGCCUUCUAUCAGGUAACCUAACCCAUGGCAUCUGCUAGUACUCUGUACACUAGACAAAACAAUAAUCCUUCUUUGUACCUUCUCAAUGUUUCCAAUACCAGGCUUUUUUCAGCGAGGGAAUCUCUGUACCGAACUGAUCUGUGUAAAUCUGUUACCUGCUGCCCCUCCAUGUAUAAAAGCCCCAGUGCAACGGCUCAGUAGUACUACUUGUAUUUUGGUUGUUUGAUUGUAUAUCGUAUGUUAAGUGACCAUUGCCUGUAUUACUUUUUAGGUGAAAUCAUGUUUGUCUUUUUUCCUCAUGUCACCAUUCUUGUAAACAUCUCUUUCUGUCUGGAAUUAUUUAUCUCAUGUUAUCCUGACUAUAACACAGUAUCACCAAAAUUAAAGUACUUUUAAUUAUUUUCAGAUUUAUAUUGAGUAAAGCGUAUGUGAGAUGUUGUGACUGUAAUGUAAGCAAAAUACAAAGCAAAUAAAAUUUAUACAGUUCUGUAAAAAAAAAAAAAAAUCUCAAUCUUUGCACUAAAUUGCAUUCAUAAUUGACUAAUUACAUAGAAUAGUCCUUUCAGAUAUUGUCAUUUCUGAUAAGCCAAUUUUCACAUGUCUGAUUGUUUUAGACAGUAACAUGAAGUUGAUUACGUGAUUGAUGCUAUGCUUUAACACUACACUGUAAUUGUAACACUUUUAGAUGUGUAAGAUACUUUGAUAUUUUACACAAGUCCCGCCUUUCUCGUGUUUUUCCCACAUUGCUUGGCUGUGUAUAUAAUGCGCAUGCGCACAUUUACACGAGUUUUUUUUCUUCCCCGUUUAUGAAGAGAAGAGCGAGUAUCUGGCAAGUCAUAUGAACAUAACCUGAAGAUUGUCUCCCUUGUUGACGAGAUAACAUGGCAUUUGAGGCAUAUCUCCGAUUUAUAGUUCAUUUUUCUACAGUGUGGAUGGAUGACAAAAUGAUACAGGACACGUGAUCCAACAGAAUGGUCUCUUCAGUGCUGAGCAACAAUGCACUGUAUGUAUGAUAGGCUUUGCAAUAGGAGUGCCCUGGGCGAUCUCAUGUUUUCAUAGUAAAUUGACUACCAAGAUGGCACUGGAUUCAUUGUGAAACUACAUUACAAAUGUAUAUAAGCAUUUCCUAUCCCUUUGUCCGAUGACAAAUGUUUGUGGAAAACACUACAAAGUAUGUACAUUUGAGUGACUGAUUAUUUCAGAAAUGUGUGAUGCCUCAGUGUUAUCUUGAGAUUAUGAACAUUAUGAAAUUGAAUUUCUUGUGCCAGUGAAGGUUUCACAAACUCCAUUGAAAUGCAUCUAGGGAAUUGUAUUGUUAAAUUCAGUUGCUUUGCUAGUAAAUCAAGUUGUUUUUGUUGAAAAAAGUUAACUAUGGUAGCAUGAGAAGUUGAGUGGCCAGGACCAAUGUUUGCAUACACACAAUACUGUACAAUGAGUGGAAAUGCAAAAUGCACCUUUCCUUACAAUGUUACUAUGGACGGAUUCUCUUUAUUCAGAGACUUUGGUCUGAUGCAACAUGGUGAAAUGUUAAUAUAUAUAUAUAAAUCAUGGAGAUUCCAAUAAUGAAGUUGGCAUGGAUGGCAGGGGGUGCACUCUGUUAAGUAUGUAACCAAUUGUGUUUGCUACACAAUGUACAGCAGGCCUACAGCGAAUCAGUACAUGCAUGUGAUUGCACAUAUGGUUUACAUACAGUACAGAAUGGUCAAGCCACGUUCACCGGAAGUGCCUGAAGAAGGGGGCGAUUAUAUUGGUCCAGUGAUUAUUGGUGGGUGAUUGUGCCGCGUUGAUGGAGCCGAAGACCAAUUUGCGUCACUGCAGCAACAUUAAGACUUCCGCUUUUACGAUUUUGUCUUCAAAAUAAAAGUAGAAACGUA